GUCAGGGUAGCUCAACGGUGGAGCAGGGCUUUCAUAAGGCCAAGGUUGUGGGUUCGAAUCCCACCCCUGACA
rnacentral:tRNA from 1 species